UACGUAGGGGGCGAGCGUUGUCCGGAUUUAUUGGGCGUAAAGAGCGCGUAGGCGGCUUGCCAAGUCGUGCGUGAAAUACCUCGGCUCAACUGGGGUGGGUCGUGCGAUACUGGCAGGCUUGAGGUCGGAAGGGGGAAGCGGAAUUCCCGGUGUAGUGGUGGAAUGCGUAGAUAUCGGGAGGAACACCAGUGGCGAAGGCGGCUUCCUGGUCCGAAUCUGACGCUGAGGCGCGAAAGCGUGGGGAGCGAAC
rnacentral:rRNA from 1 species